CUGACUGCUAUCGGAUGAUACUAGCCAUGCGAGUCUUGCAGUAAUGCAAGGCAUACGGCUCAGUAACACGUAGUCAACUUACCCUAUGGACGAGGAUAAUCUCGGGAAACUGAGCAUAAUACUCGAUAGAUCAUAAUGCCUGGAAUGGUUUAUGGUUGAAAUGAUUCGUCGCCAUAGGAUGGGACUGCGGCCUAUCAGCUUGUUGGUGAGGUAAUGGCCCACCAAGGCGAUUACAGGUACGGGCUCUGAGAGGAGAAGCCCGGAGAUGGGUACUGAGACAAGGACCCAGGCCCUAUGGGGCGCAGCAGGCGAGAAAACUUUGCAAUGUGCGAAAGCACGACAAGGUUAAUCCGAGUGAUUUCUGCUAAAGAAAUCUUUUGCAAGUCAUAAAACCACUAGUGAAUAAGGGGUGGGCAAGUUCUGGUGUCAGCCGCCGCGGUAAAACCAGCACCUCAAGUGGUCAGGAGGAUUAUUGGGCCUAAAGCAUCCGUAGCCGGCUCUGUAAGUUUUCGGUUAAAUCCAUGUGCUCAACGCAUGGGCUGCCGAAAAUACUGCAUAGCUAGGGAGUGGGAGAGGUAGACGGUACUCGGUAGGAAGGGGUAAAAUCCUUUGAUCUAUCGAUGACCACCUGUGGCGAAGGCGGUCUACCAGAACACGUUCGACGGUGAGGGAUGAAAGCUGGGGGAGCAAACCGGAUUAGAUACCCGGGUAGUCCCAGCUGUAAACGAUGCAGACUCGAUGAUGCAUUGGCAUAUAGCCAGUGCAGUGUCGCAGGGAAGCCGUUAAGUCUGCCGCCUGGGAAGUACGUACGCAAGUAUGAAACUUAAAGGAAUUGGCGGGGGAGCACCACAAGGGGUGAAGCCUGCGGUCAAU
rnacentral:rRNA from 1 species